rnacentral:rRNA from 1 species
GAUGAACGCUGGCGGCGUGCCUAAUACAUGCCAGUCGAGCGAACAGACGAGGAGCUUGCUCCUCUGACGUUAGCGGCGGACGGGUGAGUAACACGUGGAUAACCUACCUAUAAGACUGGGAUAACUUCGGGAAACCGGAGCUAAUACCGGAUAAUAUAUUGAACCGCAUGGUUCAAUAGUGAAAGACGGUUUUGCUGUCACUUAUAGAUGGAUCCGCGCCGCAUUAGCUAGUUGGUAAGGUAACGGCUUACCAAGGCAACGAUGCGUAGCCGACCUGAGAGGGGGGUAGGCCACACUGGAACUGGGACACGGUCCAGACUCCUACGGGAGGCAGCAGUAGGGAACCUGCCGCAAUGGGCGAAAGUCUGACGGAGCAACGCCGCGUGAGUGAUGAAGGUCUUCGGAUCGUAAAACUCUGUUAUGAGGGAAGAACAAAUGUGUAAGUAACUAUGCACGUCUUGACGGUACCUAAUCAGAAAGCCACGGCUAACUACGUG